rnacentral:rRNA from 1 species
ACGCUCGACACCUACGGGAGCAGCAGUAGGGAAUCUUCCACAAUGGACGCAAGUCUGAUGGAGCAACGCCGCGUGAGUGAAGAAGGUCUUCGGAUCGUAAAACUCUGUUGUUAGAGAAGAACACGAGUGAGAGUAACUGUUCAUUCGAUGACGGUAUCUAACCAGCAAGUCACGGCUAACUACGUGCCAGUAGCGCGGUAAGUUACUGAGCGGGGCCGUGGUCGAAGGACG